GUCACGCGCGAGCCGCGCUCUGGGCGCCCCACAGCCGCUGCGACCUCCGCGGUGCGAGGCCGGGGGUUGCGCCCACUCACCCAGAAGAUGACAUUGAAGCCGAAGAUGAAAUAUUUGAUGCAACAACUGACUUCGGGCCCCUUGUAGUGCUUCCCGGACAUCCUCUGCGCUCAUGAAGACACUUUGCUCGCGGCCAGGAUGAAAACCGAAGAGGGUAGUCCUGCUUGCUCUGUGUAUUGUAUCAGUCUGCAGUCCUCAGGGAAGUUGGUGUUUUUCCACCCAGAAGUAUUAACUUCUUAGAAGAAACUGACUGUUUUUUCCCUCUUCAAUCCCUUUCCAGCUCUCUCCCACUACUUCUGCUGACUUCUAGAAGCACUUACUAGCACCAGAAUUAUCACAGAAACUUCCUCCUGGCUAAUAUUACCAAAGAAAGACCCACACAUAACAGCUACAGUUUGUCUUCAUGGUAUCAUCCUCCUAUAGCCAGUGGUACCACUGUGUGCCACCUGUGCAUGUCUGUUUUGGACAUCCUCUUCUCUUGGAAGGAAUCCUUCCUACUCAUUUUACCCUUCACUUCUCUUGGUGAUAUCAGCAUCAGUAUAUUCCCAAAAAAGUCAAUUCAAUGUGUGCAAAACAGGCUAGGUUGAAAUACAUGGAUGCUGACACAGUACUGCAAACCCCACAGAACCAAACCAGUAAUAUCAACAAGAACCAUCUGAUCCUAAUGCUGGGAAUAGCUGAACCCAUCUGCUAUGCUUUGUCUUGUCAGUAACAAAGUCUGGCAGGUCACUGGCUGCUCUCAGAGGAUGGACUCUGCUCUGCCACAAAGCAACAAGCCCCAGCUUGGACUUCUGGCCUCCAAAGAAAUUGCAGAGAGCUGGCUUGUCUCCGAGCUUAUAUAACUUUUAACAAACUAUUUUUAGGUGUUGGAUCUAGGUGAAUCAGCCAAACAAUCAAUGUAACCCUGUGAAAACAUUCUCUGAUUCAAAGAAAAACGCAUAGAAUAAAACAUCCUUGAGAACAUAAA